rnacentral:rRNA from 1 species
GACGUAGGGCGCGAGCGUUGUCCGGAUUUAUUGGGCGUAAAGAGCUCGUAGGCGGUCUGUCGCGUCGGAUGUGAAAAUCCGGGGCUCAACCCCGGACUUGCGGUGGGUACGGGCAGACUAGAGUGUGGUAGGGGAGACUGGAAUUCCUGGUGUAGCGGUGGAAUGCGCAGAUAUCAGGAGGAACACCGGUGGCGAAGGCGGGUCUCUGGGCAACUACUGACGCUGAGGAGCGAAAGCGUGGGGAGCGAACAGG